GUGCUCACUUUGGCAGCACAUAGACUAAAAUUGGAAUGAAACAGAGAAGAUUAGCAUGGCCCCUGCACAAGGAUGACAUGAAAAUUUGUGAAGCAUUCCAUAUUUUA
ensembl:snRNA U6 U6 spliceosomal RNA